UGGCCUUUUCUAACAAGAUCUCUCCUCUCUCUCCUCUAGUCAGCCUUGUCCAAAUAUGAUGCCACCAAACAAAAGAGGAAAUUCUCUUCCUUUUUUAAGUCCUUGGUGAUCGAACUGGACAAAGACCUGUAUGGGCCAGACAACCAUCUGGUAGAAUGGCACAGGACCGCCACUACCCAGGAGACGGAUGGCUUCCAGGUGAAGCGGCCAGGAGACGUGAAUGUACGGUGUACUGUCCUCCUGAUGCUGGACUACCAGCCUCCCCAGUUUAAAUUAGAUCCUCGCCUGGCUCGGCUCCUGGGCAUCCACACCCAGACCCGUCCAGUGAUCAUCCAAGCACUGUGGCAGUAUAUUAAGACACAUAAGCU